UACGUAGGGGGCAAGCGUUAUCCGGAUUUACUGGGUGUAAAGGGUGCGUAGGCGGCAUGGUAAGUCAGAUGUGAAAACUUGGGGCUCAACUUCAAGAUUGCAUCUGAAACUGCUAAGCUAGAGUGUAGGAGAGGAAAGUGGAAUUCCGAGUGUAGCGGUGAAAUGCGUAGAGAUUCGGAGGAACACCAGUAGCGAAGGCGACUUUCUGGACUGUAACUGACGCUGAGGCACGAAAGCGUGGGGAGCGAACAGG
rnacentral:rRNA from 1 species